GAUGAACGCUGGCGGCGUGCUUAACACAUGCAAGUCGAACGGAAAGGCCCUGCUUUUGUGGGGUGCUCGAGUGGCGAACGGGUGAGUAACACGUGAGUAACCUGCCCUUGACUUUGGGAUAACUUCAGGCAACUGGGGCUAAUACCGGAUAGGAGCUCCUGCUGCAUGGUGGGGGUUGGAAAGUUUCGGCGGUUCGGGAUGGACUCGGGGCUUAGCAGCUUGUUGGGGGGGUAGCGGCUUACCAAGGCUUUGACGGGUAGCCGGCCUGAGAGGGGGACCGGGCACAUUGGGACUGAGAUACGGCCCAGACUCCUAAGGGAGGGAGCAGUAGGGAAGAUUGCACAAUGGGCGGAAGCCUGAUGCAGCAACACCGCGUGCGGGAUGACAACCUUCGGGUUGUAAACCGCUUUGGCCGGUGACGAAGCGUGAUUGACGGUAAUGAGUGAAGAAGCACCGGCUAACUACGUG
rnacentral:rRNA from 1 species